rnacentral:lncRNA from 1 species
GUCAGAUAAUCAUGUGUAUUUAAGAGGACAUUGCUUCUCACCUGCAGUCAACACAAAACUCAGCCUUACCCAUGACUUUGAGUUCAGAACUGAGCAGUUCUUACUGGUAGGAUUGGUUGUUUUGAACAUUUGACAUCACUGCAUUUAAUCUGUUGAGUUAAAUGUCUUCAUUAGCAACUCUUUUAUUCCUUUUCUGUAUUUGGCGUUGAUAUUCAGCCUGUUGCUCCAGCUGUUACAACAGGUCAAUGAAUGUGACACCAAAAUGCAAGUUCUCCACAUUAUUUCCUGUGCCAUGGAGAGAGUCAGCAUCCAGGACACUACUUGUUGUCUUUGCACACUGAAAAACACAUAUUGAUGUCAUAUCAUUACCAGACGAUGCUGACUGAGCACAAGGCCACGACCUGCUUUGAAAAUAACCUUUAGCUAUUGCGUGAG